rnacentral:rRNA from 1 species
UACGAAGGGGGCUAGAGGUGUUCGGAGUCACUGGGCGUAAAGCGCACGCAGGCGGAUCGAUAAGUCGGGGGUGAAAGCCCGGGGCUCAACCUCGGAAUUGCCUUCGAUACUGUCGGUCUCGAGUCCGGGAGAGGUGAGUGGAAUUCCUAGUGUAGAGGUGAAAUUCGUAGAUAUUAGGAAGAACACCAGUGGCGAAGGCGGCUCACUGGCCCGGUACUGACGCUCAGGUGCGAAAGCGUGGGGAGCAAACAGG